UACGGAGGGUGCGAGCGUUGUCCGGAAUCACUGGGCGUAAAGGGCGCGUAGGCGGCGCGGGAAGUCCGUGGUGAAAGCCCGAGGCUCAACUUCGGGUCGGCCAUGGAUACUCCUGGGCUCGAGCACUGUAGAGGCAGGUGGAAUUCCGGGAGUAGCGGUGGAAUGCGUAGAGAUCCGGAAGAACACCGGUGGCGAAGGCGGCCUGCUGGGCAGUGACCGUAAGGUCUGAAAGCUGACGCUGAGGCGCGACAGCGUGGGGAGCAAACAGG
rnacentral:rRNA from 1 species